UCCGGGAUCGUCUAACAGGCAGGACGGUGGAUUCUGGUUCCAUCAAUCUGGGUUCGAAUCCCAGUCCCGGAU
rnacentral:tRNA from 2 species